AUAGAUACUACUGCUACUAUAGAUACUACUGCAUACCACAGGUACUACUACUACUAUAGAUACUACUACGUACUAUAGGUACUACUACAUACUAUAGAUACUACUGCUAGUAUAGAUACUACUGCAUACCACAGGUACUACUACUACUACUAUGGAUACUACUAUGUACUAUAGGUACUACUACAUACUAUAGAUACUACUGCUACUAUAGAUA